AUGGCAGGUGCUGAGGGUAACCUACUGAAGAAUUCAAAGUUACUGAGUCUCUGAAAAGGAGGAUUUAUCAGAUACGGAGAUUGAAACUGUACACCUUAUUCCAGAUGUGGUUUCGCCAAGAUUGGAGUAAAACAUUCCUACAGGUUAGUGUGAAUCUACAUGUAAUUUUAUAAAAUGUGCAAAAGGCAGCCAACAGGGUGAAACAGGAUGGAACAGGACAGGAAGAAAUUGUGAGAACAAGCUGUCUGAAACAAUAAUCAUUGAUGUUGGCAACCACGAAAGGAUCAAUACCAUAGAUAUAUGAUUGAUGUUGGAAAGAAUGACCAGAAAG